AGUGAACGCUGGCGGUAGGCCUAACACAUGCAAGUCGAACGGCAGCACAGUAAGAUCUUGCUCUUACGGGUUGCGAGUGGCGGACGUGUGAGUUAUACAUCGGAAUCUACUUUUUCGUGUGGGAUAACGUAGGUAAACUUACUCUAAUACCUCAUACGACCUACGGGUGAAAUCAUUGGAUCUUCUGACCUUUCGCGAUUGAUUGAGCCGAUGUCGGAUUAGCUAGUUGGCGGGGUAAAGGCCCACCAAGGCGACGAUCCGUAGCUGGUCUGAGAGGAUGAUCAGACAAACUGGAACUGAGACACGGAACAGAGAACUACGGGAGGCAGCAGUGGGGAAUAUUGGACAAUGGGGGCAAGCAUGAUAAAGCAAAACCGCGUGGGUGAAGAAGGACUUAGGGUUGUAAAGACAUUUUGUUGGGAAAGAAAAGAAGCAGGAUAAUAACACGAUGUAAUGACGGUAACAAAAGAAUAAGCACCGGCUAACUUCGUG
rnacentral:rRNA from 1 species